AGUUGAAACACCAAUUCCCGUACGAUCAGCAAAGUUAAGCAAUGUCGAGCCUGGUCGGUACCUAGAAGGGUGAUCGCUUGGGAAUACUAGAUGCUGUAA